UGAAGAGCAAAGAAGAACCAACAUCAAAACUUUGAGGGAAAUAGCGAUGAAAAAUGAAGAACAAAACAAACAAGCAAAUAACAGAUGAAACAUUCACAUGUUCCUUUGAGUUUCACUUUCUUCAUACAAAACAGAGAGAGUUUUACCAUGAAGAGUCUGCCUAUGAUAUGAUGAAACAUUCACACUUUCUUUUGAGCUUCUUUUUCUUCAAACAAAACAGAGAGGCUUUUCUCAUCAGGAGUCUGUCCAUGAUGAUUAUGUGAAACUCAAAGCAAAGAAUACCAGCAUCAAGUGUGAUGGAAAACUUUUCAAUAAAGGAAAUUUCCAUCUAAAAUGCCGGAAAGUAAUACCACCAAUUUUGUCAUGUUCUUUUUGCAUUUUGUUAGAGUUUAUGUGAAGAGAACAUGUGAGAGUUUGCUUUUUAUCUUGAUGUGAAGUGCUAACAGGAAUUAAAUUGGAUAACAAAAAAAAAAAAAAAAGAUUUUUUCUUAAGGUUAAUUUAAUUAAGAAUUGAAAUUAAACAGACAAUAGGGGAAAUAUCAUACUAAAGAAAUACUGCUUCUUAUGUUCUUAUACUGUACGUAGCUAAUAUACAACGGGAUAUAUUUGCAACAAAAUGAAUAGAGAAAAUGAAUAAAUAUGUCAACAUUUCAUGUUCUUAUUUUCAAGACUUUUUAAAAUUAUUCAAACAUCGUUCUUGUAGAAACGGAUCUAGGAAAAGCAUUUGA